CUAAGCAGGAUGAAGUAGUGCAGAAUCUGUGGGUGAAGGGGAUGUUAGGCUGAUGCGAGUGUUGUUAGUCUCCAGUGAUUAUUUCCACUCUAGAAAAAGGAUGGCUAAAGAUUUCCACACGUGCAUAAGAUGUCAUAUCUUGUGAUCCAUCUCUUCUCUCUUCAUUUUCCUCCUUUGUAACUACAAGCCUUUCCUGGAGCUGAUAGCUCUAUCCAGAAUGACUCAUAGAGAUGUCUGAGAUAUGUCUGAGAAUCCUUUUAUUCUGGAUGAUGGUAAUGGCAAGAUUCCCACUGAUGUGAGUGAACUUCUACAGACCACCGUAGAUUUAUUGUACAUUCUUAAUUUCAACUGCCCUGAGAUGAAUGAAAGCUCAGUUAUCAGCACAGAGUUACCUCUGGUGAAGGAAGCAUGUACUCAGAAUAGAAGUAUUGUGCCACCAGCUGUGUUAAAUUGCUGCCUCUGAGCUAUUGCGGGACAGUUCAAGCCUGCUUGUAAAACAGAUAACAGGAAGGCAUGUGUGUUGCCAAGGAAACCCUUGGCUGCAAGUUUAUUGUAUAAAUAAAUAAAUCCCCCCACUGAGGUGGGGAAGAUGUAGCUCACAGAGCAGCGGGAGGAAAAAAUGAAGAAGCGCCUGGCAUGUCUCUGUGGCUGGGGGAGGGUCAGGAGCAAAAGCAGUGAAACAGCUUUACCACUUCACGUGGCUGACCUUCAAGCUGGGGAAAACAGGGAAAGUGGGUCUAUCUUUCAGAAGUGUUUGGGGGAGCAAUUAGUGGCCGGGGGGUAGAAAUACAACCAUGAUGGCCAAGUCCAUGCACUGCAGGGUGGAGAAACACGAGUGACCCAUGCACAUUCUCACAGUCUGGAGGAAGAGAAGCACUACUUGACUUGCCCAGUGCUAUGCAAGGAAGUGGCAGAUCAGGUCUGUGAUGAGUAGUGCAGUGAAAAGGAAACUGAAAACAAAAUAAGGAAGACAGAAGCUAGUAUAGCGCUAUAUGAUUCUAUGUCUAAACUUUGGAACAGAUUAAAAAAUAGCAGC
ensembl:lncRNA